CCUACGGGAGGCAGCAGUGGGGAAUCUUGCGCAAUGGGCGAAAGCCUGACGCAGCAACGCCGCGUGCGGGAAGAAGGCUUUCGGGCUGUAAACCGCUUUCAGCAGGAACGAAAAUGACGGUACCUGCAGAAGAAGGAGCGGCCAACUAUGUGCCAGCAGCCGCGGUGAUACAUAGGCUUCAAGCGUUGUCCGGAUUUAUUGGGCGUAAAGAGUUCGUAGGCGGUCGAGUAAGUCGGGUGUGAAAAUUCUGGGCUCAACCCAGAGACGCCACCCGAUACUGCUUGACUUGAGUUCGAUAGGGGAGUGGGGAAUUCCUAGUGUAGCGGUGAAAUGCGCAGAUAUUAGGAGGAACACCGGUGGCGAAGGCGCCACUCUGGAUCGAUACUGACGCUGAGGAACGAAAGCAUGGGUAGCAAACAGGAUUAGAUACCCUGGUAGUCCAUGCCGUAAACGGUGGGCACUAGGUGUGGGUUUCUAUUAACGAAAUCCGCGCCGUCGCUAACGCAUUAAGUGCCCCGCCUGGGGAGUACGGUCGCAAGCUAAAACUCAAAUGAAUUGACGGCNGAGACGUGCGACGACGACGACGAGGAGAGG
rnacentral:rRNA from 1 species